rnacentral:rRNA from 1 species
UACGUAGGGUGCAAGCGUUGUCCGGAAUUAUUGGGCGUAAAGAGCUCGUAGGCGGUUCGUCGCGUCGGCUGUGAAAUCCCGAGGCUCAACCUCGGGUCUGCAGUCGAUACGGGCGGACUGGAGUUCGGCAGGGGAGACUGGAAUUCCUGGUGUAGCGGUGAAAUGCGCAGAUAUCAGGAGGAACACCGGUGGCGAAGGCGGGUCUCUGGGCCGGCAUUGACGCUGAUGAGCGAAAGCUAGGGGAGCAAACGGG